GGAAGGGCAGGGUUUUUAUAGAGACGAUUCAUGGAACUGCUUAUGCUGGUGGAGAAUCCAGACUGUUAUGACUCAUUUGUCUCUUUAUUGCUCUGGACCAAGGACUGUUGUUUCCUUUUAAGUCUCUCUGUAGGAGCUGAGCUCCAGCUUAGGGCCAAGACCUCUUUUGCAGGAAGACAGUGACUUUAGUGAGUGGGAACAGGAAUACCCCUUUGUUGGGUUCUGGGUCAAGCCUACUGGAUAAGCAAAAUAAGAAUUUUGUUUUUUACCGGAGGGUAGAGUUUCUUUUGGAAACCAGUAGCAUCCUUAAAGUCUUUAGCUUCAGAUAAGGUUUUCCUUGUGUCUGUCCUACAUUUCAUUCUUUUUUUUUUUUUGGUACCGGGGAUCGAACACGGGUCUUUGUACUUGCGCAGCAGGUGGCGAAAUCACUGAGCUAAAUCCCCGGCCCUGCCAUUUCAUUCUUUAAAAGCCCAAGUAAAGUUGGAUUGAGUGGUACGUGGAGCAGCUUUGGAGAGUAGAAAUGAGUGUGCCUGGGUUACCAUGGAACCAGGGAUGGCAGAAAAAGUCAUUUGGAGUCCAGUUUGCCUGAAGUCCUGCUAUGCUUUCUGGGAAGAACUGUGAAGAGGGCUUUUGGACUGGAGUCAACUGCCAUGUGGUCUGUGUGACAAUGAACCAGUGGUGGCUUCUGGUCAACAUCCAGGAAAGAUCUGUGACCCUCAGCCUAGCAGCCUGUAAGGGCCUGAGUCCUGUUCACAUCGCUGGGUGUCAGUGGACACGUGGAACACUUCUGCCCCUGGCUAUUGAGAAUCAAGCUGCUAGGAAUACCAGAUUCCCCAUCCAACUGGUUGGGAAGCUCUUCAUGUGGCUUUUCAGAGUGGACAGUCCUGCUAGCUGUCCCUUUGCCCUCUGCCAGAUCCCCAGAGUUCUUUUCAUUCAUUGAUGGCUUAGGAAGAGAGAGUGUGUGCAAGACACACGUGUCUUCUACUCACUGGCCAAGAUAAGACAAGACUACAACAUCAUUUCCUGGUCCUGCCUACUUCCUGUGGGCGGCCCCUUCUCCACGAGAGCAGCACCUGACACAGGGGACUCAUUCUCCUUUGAUGCUUUUUAAAGGUGUACUUGUGACUCGAAUGACUGUGAUCCUGGGAAAACUCAACAUUUCAUCUCAUCAAAGUCACCUUUCCAACUUUAGCAGUGAAAACUACAAGAAAGGGGGUCAAAAUUCAGAUUAGGCAUCCUGGAGCAUCCUCUCUGGCUCCACAAGGUGAUCAGAGAGUGUGGACACAUAUCCAUCUAUUGACAAAUAAUUGUGAAAGGCAAAAUGUCUCCCUAAAUUAUAGUAAUGCACAUGUGAUGUGUAUAAUUCAACACCCUUUUGUGUAGGAAGUAGCCAUACUACUAAUACACUGCUGGUGGAAUUCUUAAUUGGUUUAGCCACUUAAAGAGAAAUCAGUAUUAUGUCUUAAAGUUGAAAAUGUAGGCAUCCUAUGGCCCAGCAAUUCCAUCAAUAUGAUCAAUAAAGAUUUAUUUCCCAAUCAGCAACCCAAGAUGACUGAAUAGUGCAAACAACUGCAUAUAUAAAUGACUCCCAGUGGUUUCAUUUUUCAAUGAGAUGAUAUCUGAAGAGCAGGAAAAAAAUGACUGGGUUCAUAUGGAGGAGAAAUCAGUUCCGCUGGAAUGCUGCUGUCAGGACUGAACACAAGGCGGCAAGUUUGUAGAUGGUGGAGACCCUCGUGCUGUUUAUCUCACAGACAUUCUCAUGUAAGCCUGCCUGGGAGAACUGAAACAGGUGGACGUAUCUGUGUAAAGAAGAAGCAGUGUGGUAUCAUCUCAUAUGGUUCUCACACCAUGGGACACAUGAGAAAGAAUCACCAAGUUUAUACCAAUUCUUUUUAUUAACAGAAGUAUUGGUUCAGGAUGAGUGGAAGCAUUGUAGAAUUUAUCUGCUGUCAGACAAGUAGAGAUUUCUAGGUAAUAUUCUGCUUCCCAGACUGGCCACUUGAGUAAUACGAUAAGAACAUAGCCAUCAUGGUAGUGGCAUAAGUACCUACAUUUUCUCUUAAAUAAUCACUUACCUGGGGACCUCACCUCUUGAGAAUAUGUUGAAAAUAGAAAAUGUAUAUAAAGUCAGAUAGGCCUUCGUGAGAACAGUUGGUCUUUCCUGGGGGUAAUUUUGCCUCUCCCUGUAGGGAACAUUUGACGAUGUCUACAGACAUCUCUGAUUGGGCUGACUAACAAGGAAGGAAGAACUGCUAAUGGUGCCUAGAAGGUGGAGGGCAGGGAUCCUGAUCAAUAUUCUAAAAUGCACAGGAUGGCCUGUUAUAAUUUAGAUCUCAAGGGGCCGGGGAUUUAGCUCAGUGGUUCCGCCGCCUGCCUCGCAAGCACAAGAACCCGAGUUCGACCCCCAGUACCAAAAACAAAACAAAACAAAAAUAAUUUAGAUCUCAAAUGUCUCCCCAAAGUCUCCGGUGUGUGGAAGAUCGUUGGGUCAUGGGGCUCGGUACUCAUCAGUGGACUCAUCCUUGAUGAGUUCACAGCUGAAUGUGCUGCUAGGAGGUGGGGCCUGGAAGAAGGUGGG
rnacentral:lncRNA from 1 species